CCUACGGGGGGCAGCAGUGGGGAAUCUUCCGCAAUGGGCGAAAGCCUGACGGAGCAACGCCGCGUGAGUGAAGAAGGUCUUCGGAUCGUAAAGCUCUGUUGUCGGGGACGAAUGUUGAGACCUAGAACAUAGGUUUCAAAUGACGGUACCUGACGAGGAAGCCACGGCUAACUACGUGCCAGCAGCCGCGGUAAUACGUAGGUGGCGAGCGUUGUCCGGAAUUAUUGGGCGUAAAGGGAGCGCAGGCGGGAAGGUAAGUCUAUCUUAAAAGUGCGGGGCUCAACCCCGUGAGGGGAUAGAAACUAUUUUUCUUGAGUGCAGGAGAGGAAAGCGGAAUUCCUAGUGUAGCGGUGAAAUGCGUAGAUAUUAGGAGGAACACCAGUGGCGAAGGCGGCUUUCUGGACUGUAACUGACGCUGAGGCUCGAAAGCCAGGGGAGCGAACGGGAUUAGAUACCCUAGUAGUC
rnacentral:rRNA from 1 species